GCCAAAGUAGUGUAGUGUUUUGAGUGCUGGACUAGGACUCUGGAGACCAGGAUUCAAAUCCCUGCUCAGCCA
rnacentral:tRNA from 1 species